AUUAAGCCAUAAGAUGGUUUUGAGAAACCGUUCCCUGAUUAACACUACCCAACCAGAAGAGAGAGAACUCUUCCUGAACCACCUUCUCCUGCUGGCCUUCAGAAAUUCUGCCGUUGCUGGUAAUAGGCUACACAAGCAAGCAGAGAGACGUGACUAUCGUUGAUCCUCUGGGGAGCCUCAACAACCUC